AAUUUUCCACUACAGCCAACCACAGAUGCAGCACAUUAAAGAUGCACCAAGAGGUGUGGGUUCACUUAAUCAUGAUUUAGGGAAAUAUGGAGGAAUGUCCCCGACCUAAUUUUGUUUAAUUUCUUAAGGUUCGGUCUGGGGAUAGGCAUAUACCUUUCUCUCAUCACAUGACAUUGAUCACCAUUAUUCCCAAGACAAUAUUUAUUGUGAAUGCUGGUGAAUUGAUGGAAUGCAAUAGUAAGGUGAGCUAAUGGGCACUUUAUGAAUCUCAUGAUUUGUUCACUAGAACAUAAGCCAACUAGACGGGUAAAAAAUAAAAAAACAAACCACAAGAAAUAAAAAUGAAACCUAAUAAGGCGGAAAGCUUUUGCAAACGCUGUUACCAACUCCCCAUAGCUCGAUGUUUAAUGAAUAAACCUCCCUAAAUUGGAAAGACGAAAACCCUACACCUAAUGCAGGAAGUAUUUCGGAGUAUUUCAACAGACAAAAACUCAUCUAUGAAUAAAGAAUUAAAAGCAAUGAGUUAAAGAAUGUUAAAGUGCAAAUCAAGUGGAACACAAGGGGUUAUUCUGAGAAGGGGUGUGGAUUACAACCAAACCACGCAAAAACAUUCAAAUGCCCAACAGGACAAAACAAGUAUUUAGGAAAUGAGGCAGACGGCACCACCAAAGACGAAACCACAUGUACAAUUU